rnacentral:lncRNA from 1 species
ACUCUUCAGCUGAUAUCCACUUGCUGACAAAUGAAUCUCUCUGGCCCCUGGACUGUGCCCUGAAACACAGCUUAAAACAGCAGAAUGAACAGUAAUCCCAGAGAUCCUGAGAUGAGAAAAGGGUGUUUGACUUAUUCAAAGAAGACCAAGGAAGCCCAAAGACCAGAGAAGAGUGCAGGAAAGGGGCGGCGGUCUGAGAUGCAGUCAGAGCAGUGGCAAGCCCCCAGAGUCUGUGGCAAAGACUUCAGGUUUCAUCCUGAAGAGGAAGACAGGUCUUUGGAGAGUUUUGAUCAAGGAAGUGAGAUGAAAUAUCUUAGGCUUACAAAGAACUACUCUGACAUCUAAAUGGAAAAUGGACUGAUGAAGCAAAAGAAGCCACAAGGAAGCCAGUUCAGAGGCUAUUGAAAUGCUCCAGUUCCUUUGGCCACGCUGUAAUCACUAGUGAGCUCUUCUGGCAGUUAUAAGUCACAUGUCAUGUGACAGAUUUUCCUGUAUGAUUUUCAUUAAAAUGCUUUGGAAUCCUGGGACAGAAAGAAAUUAUGUAAAUAGGAACAGCGGUUUAUUGAAAGGAAAGCAAAUGUCCAGAAGCAAAAACAAACAAACAAAAAACAAACAAACAAACAAAAACAGAAAAAACUUCCCCAAAAGUAAAGAAUCACAGCUUUA